AGAACUCAAAGGAGGAUUUUGCAAGAUUUAUUCCAAAAGAUUGAAGUUGCUUAGUAUAGUGGAUCAUUAUAGUAUCAUUAAGGGCCGAAUUUGAGGUGGUUCCGUUGUAGGCAUCAUAGGUUCUUGAUAGGUGUACCAUCUUCUCAGUUGAUUCGAUGAGUCCUACUCUAUAUUGGGUCCUUAUCUUUGUAUUGAUACUUGUAUAAUAUUUUGAGGUAUAGUCGGGUCCUUGUCACCGGCAUUUUCAUACUAUUCUCAUAUUAUUUAAAGGCUCUGUAGACAUACUAUGGGUCGUGUUUUGAAUGGGGAAAAAACUAUUAGCGUUGUUCUUGUCAGUUGAUUUCACUCACA